UACGGAGGGGGCUAGCGUUGUUCGGAAUUACUGGGCGUAAAGCGCACGUAGGCGGCUUUGCAAGUUAGAGGUGAAAGCCCGGGGCUCAACUCCGGAAUUGCCUUUAAAACUGCAUCGCUAGAAUUGUGGAGAGGUAAGUGGAAUUCCGAUGUAGAGGUGAAAUUCGUAGAUAUUCGGAAGAACACCAGUGGCGAGGCGACUUACUGGACACAUAUUGACGCUGAGGUGCGAAAGCGUGGGGAGCAAACAGG
rnacentral:rRNA from 1 species